rnacentral:lncRNA from 1 species
GGAGAAAAAAAAUACUAAUAUCAAAUAAGAGGGAAUAAUUGAGCAAAGGGGUGUAAAUCUGGUUUGGAGUGCAAAUAACAAGUUGAUUGGGCCCGAGGGGCGCAAGGCACAUGGCCUUGUACAACUUUGGCAUGUGAGGUGCACAUAGUGAUGACAAGGUGCGAAGAGUAAUCUAUGAAGGACCUAAUGUCAAGGUUGUCCCAAUCUGUCCUUAUGAAUGGAGGGAGUUCAAUCCAAUCUCACAUAACACGUUCAUAAAC